rnacentral:rRNA from 1 species
GGAGCAGGUAUCAGGCACGACCUGUCAGCCCAAAACACCUUGCUAUGCCACACCCACAUGGGUACUCAGCAGUAAUUAAUAUUAAGCAAUGAGUAAAAGCCGCAUUAAGCUCGACUUAGUUAUGAUCACUAGGGCCGGUUAACCUCGUGCCAGCCACCGCGGUUAUACGAAGGGCCCAAAACAGCAGACACCGGCGUAAAUUGUGACUAGAGAUACCACCUUAAACAAGAAGAAAUAAACCACACCCUAACCGUAAAACAUAGGCUAAGUGAAGCCCCCCACUCUUCUUACACAAGGUUGCUUGAACCCACGAAAACUAAGAAACAAACUAGGAUUAGACACCCUACUAUGCUUAGAUGUAAACAAGACACUACACAACUAAAGUGUCCGCCAGAGAAUUACAAGCGAAAAGCUUAAAACUCAAAGGACUUGGCGGUGCUCCGUACUCAACUUAGAGGAGCCUGUCCUAUAAUCGAUACUCCACGAUAAACCCCACCAUCUUUUGCCAACCCAGCCUAUAUACCGCCGUCGAAAACUUACCCCAUGAGGGAAAAAAAGUAAGUAAAAUAGUUAAUCACUAACACGUCAGGUCAAGGUGUAGCUUACAAGAUGGCAGAGAUGGGCUACAUUUUCUAACAAGAACAUACGGCAAUGGGCCAUGAAAUACCCCCACAAAGGCGGAUUUAACAGUAAGAUAAUUAAGAAAAA